GCCCAUUGCAGCCAAUGACACAGUGGUAUUCCUUGCAGCAUGAGAUGGUGCAGAAUUGAGUAAAAUAUUCAAAACAAAUCAAACAAUAAAAGAUGGAUUUUGUUGUGCAAUCUGGUAUAAACGUAUCACAGUCAGUGAUGAUUACUGGUGCUACUAAUACCAACGCCGACGAAGAAAUACUUGAUUGCUUAAGUAGCUAUGGCAAACUUAAUCGCACUUUGUAUGUAAUUGAUUCCUCAAGCACUUUUUUUGAAAACCUGAUCGUUGAGUUUGCGGAUCUAACUGCUUUUUCCGCGUUACAACCGCUUCUACCUUAUACUUACGCCUCUAAAACGAAUACUGAUCUUGUGUUCCGUGUCACUGCUUUGGUGCUCGAGUACGCAGCCACAGUGGACAGCAGCAGCAGCAAUCAGCCCAACUACAUCGCUGAACUUAAGAAAAUCGCUGAUCAAAGCGGCCAUCGUUUUGAAGAUGUCCUGAAGACAGUAAUGAGCCAGAUUGGCCAACAUUUGCAUGCAGCAGGAGCAGAUGGAGGUGAUAAUGACGAUGAUGAUGAUGAUGAUGAAGAUGACUAUGACGAUGACAUUGAUGAGAAGGAUAGAGAAGGAUAGAGUAAAGGUAAAAGGUCAGGUUUUUUCCCACCCCCUGUGUCACGUCAGGAUGGCGAGCUACCGGAUCACCGCAGCUUCGCGGUAGGAUUUAAGUGAACCAAGCUAUCUUUUCAUUCUGGACCUAUUUGCUCUGGAUCUUGGGAAAAAAAGAAAACAAUCAGAUAU